GCGAGUACCAAAAUGGUACUUCGAAAACAUGUUGCCUUACAAUUACCAAGGUCAAUACAUGUUGAUUCUGGAACACGGGCUACCGGAAUCUACUCGAUGGCAUAGGACCAGAACAUGACCGCAUCAUAACCGAGUUUAACCAUUCAGAAACACAAAUUCUGUCUCCAAUAUAGAUCCCGAGCCCAACUAUGAAGCAUUCAAGGAAACCUCGUAUACC
rnacentral:lncRNA from 1 species